GGUGAUAUUUCAGUUCGGUUAGAUUGUUGUUUUAAGCAACAAAGCAAGUUCGAUUCUUGCUAUCACCA
rnacentral:tRNA from 2 species